rnacentral:rRNA from 1 species
GAGCAGGCGCUGCUAUACAUGCAGUCGAACGCUUCUUUUUCCACCGGAGCUUGCUCCACCGGAAAAAGAGGAGUGGCGAACGGGUGAGUAACACGUGGGUAACCUGCCCAUCAGAAGGGGAUAACACUUGGAAACAGGUGCUAAUACCGUAUAACAAUCAAAACCGCAUGGUUUUGAUUUGAAAGGCGCUUUCGGGUGUCGCUGAUGGAUGGACCCGCGGUGCAUUAGCUAGUUGGUGAGGUAACGGCUCACCAAGGCCACGAUGCAUAGCCGACCUGAGAGGGUGAUCGGCCACAUUGGGACUGAGACACGGCCCAAACUCCUACGGGAGGCAGCAGUAGGGAAUCUUCGGCAAUGGACGAAAGUCUGACCGAGCAACGCCGCGUGAGUGAAGAAGGUUUUCGGAUCGUAAAACUCUGUUGUUAGAGAAGAACAAGGAUGAGAGUAACUGUUCAUCCCUUGACGGUAUCUAACCAGAAAGCCACGGCUAACUACGUGCCAGCAGCCGCGGUAAUACGUAGGUGGCAAGCGUUGUCCGGAUUUAUUGGGCGUAAAGCGAGCGCAGGCGGUUUCUUAAGUCUGAUGUGAAAGCCCCCGGCUCAACCGGGGAGGGUCAUUGGAAACUGGGAGACUUGAGUGCAGAAGAGGAGAGUGGAAUUCCAUGUGUAGCGGUGAAAUGCGUAGAUAUAUGGAGGAACACCAGUGGCGAAGGCGGCUCUCUGGUCUGUAACUGACGCUGAGGCUCGAAAGCGUGGGGAGCAAACAGGAUUAGAUACCCUGGUAGUCCACGCCGUAAACGAUGAGUGCUAAGUGUUGGAGGGUUUCCGCCCUUCAGUGCUGCAGCUAACGCAUUAAGCACUCCGCCUGGGGAGUACGACCGCAAGGUUGAAACUCAAAGGAAUUGACGGGGGCCCGCACAAGCGGUGGAGCAUGUGGUUUAAUUCGAAGCAACGCGAAGAACCUUACCAGGUCUUGACAUCCUUUGACCACUCUAGAGAUAGAGCUUCCCCUUCGGGGGCAAAGUGACAGGGGGUGCAUGGUUGUCGUCAGCUCGUGUCGUGAGAUGUUGGGGUUAAGUCCCGCAACGAGCCGCAACCCUUAUUGUUUAGUUGCCAUCAUUCAGUUUGGCAACUCCUAGCA